UGACAAAAAAUACUUUGCAGAACUAUGGUG
rnacentral:piRNA from 1 species